GGUCUGGAGAACUCAUUCAUUUGGGUACCGAAGGUGAAAAUGCUUCUAGAUGUAGAUGAUAGAAGUGUGAAUCUCUCAGGUAAAAGGACAGACAGGA
rnacentral:ncRNA from 1 species